rnacentral:rRNA from 1 species
GACGAACGCUGGCGGCGUGCUUAACACAUGCAAGUCGAACGGUAAGGCCCUUCGGGGUACACGAGUGGCGAACGGGUGAGUAACACGUGGGUGAUCUGCCCUGCACUUCGGGAUAAGCCUGGGAAACUGGGUCUAAUACCGGAUAGGACUCCGGACUGCAUGGUCUGGGGUGGAAAGCUUUUGCGGUGUGGGAUGGGCCCGCGGCCUAUCAGCUUGUUGGUGGGGGGGUGGCCUACCAAGGCGACGACGGGUAGCCGGCCUGAGAGGGUGACCGGCCACACUGGGACUGAGAGACGGCCCAGACUCCUACGGGAGGCAGCAGUGGGGAAUAUUGCACAAUGGGCGCAAGCCUGAUGCAGCGACGCCGCGUGAGGGAUGACGGCCUUCGGGUUGAAAACCUCUUUCAGCACCGACGAAGCGCAAGUGACGGUAGGUGCAGAAGAAGGACCGGCCAACUACGUGCCAGCCGCCGCAGUAA